GUGAGGAAUAUUGGACAAUGGGCGCAAGCCUGAUCCAGCCAUGCCGCGUGCAGGAAGACGCAUCUAUGGUGUGUAAACUGCUUUUGUACGGGAAGAAACACUCCCUCGUGAGGGAGCUUGACGGUACCGUAAGAAUAAGGAUCGGCUAACUCCGUGCCAGCAGCCGCGGUAAUACGGAGGAUCCAAUCGUUAUCCGGAAUCAUUGGGUUUAAAGGGUCCGUAGGCGGUUUAAUAAGUCAGUGGUGAAAGCCCAUCGCUCAACGAUGGAACGGCCAUGGAUACUGUUAGACUUGAAUUACAAGGAAGUAACUAGAAUAUGUAGUGUAGCGGUGAAAUGCUUAGAUAUUACAUGGAAUACCAAUUGCGAAGGCAGGUUACUACUUGUGGAUUGACGCUGAUGGACGAAAGCGUGGGGAGCGAACAGGAUUAGAAACCCCGGUAGUCC
rnacentral:rRNA from 1 species